rnacentral:rRNA from 1 species
GACGAACGCUGGCGGCGUGCCUAAUACAUGCAAGUAGAACGCUGACUACUUUAGCUUGCUAGAGUAGAAGGAGUUGCGAACGGGUGAGUAACGCGUAGGUAUCCUGCCUACUAGCGGGGGAUAACUAUUGGAAACGAUAGCUAAUACCGCAUAACAGUGUUUAACACAUGUUAGAUGCUUGAAAGAUGCAAUUGCAUCACUAGUAGAUGGACCUGCGUUGUAUUAGCUAGUGGGUGGGGUAACGGCCCACCAAGGCGACGAUACAUAGCCGACCUGAGAGGGUGAUCGGCCACACUGGGACUGAGACACGGCCCAGACUCCUACGGGAGGCAGCAGUAGGGAAUCUUCGGCAAUGGGGGCAACCCUGACCGAGCAACGCCGCGUGAGUGAAGAAGGUUUUCGGAUCGUAAAGCUCUGUUGUAAGAGAAGAACGUGUGUGAGAGUGGAAAGUUCACACAGUGACGGUAACUUACCAGAAAGGGACGGCUAACUACGUGCCAGCAGCCGCAGUAA